rnacentral:antisense_RNA from 2 species
CUCUAUGGCGGGCGGUGUGCGGAGACCGAAAGGUCUGCCGGUACCUUGUGGCCGGUCUGUCAACCGCAUGCCGUCCGCCACCUCG